rnacentral:rRNA from 1 species
UACGAAGGUGGCAAGCGUUACUCGGAAUUACUAGGCGUAAAGGGCAGGUAGGCGGUUUUGUAAGUCGGGUGUGAAACCUCCAGGCUCAACCUGGAGACGCCACCCGAUACUGCUGUGGCUAGAGUCCGGUAGGGGAGCGUGGAAUUCCUGGUGUAGCGGUGAAAUGCGCAGAUAUCAGGAGGAACACCAGCGGCGAAGGCGGCGCUCUGGGCCGGUACUGACGCUGAGGAGCGAAAGCGUGGGGAGCAAACAGG